AUUGAACGCUUGCGGCAUGCCUUACACAUGCAAGUCGAACGGUAACGGGUCCUUCGGGAUGCCGACGAGUGGCGAACGGGUGAGUAAUAUAUCGGAACGUGCCCAGUAGUGGGGGAUAACUGCUCGAAAGAGCAGCUAAUACCGCAUACGACCUGAGGGUGAAAGGGGGGGAUCGCAAGACCUCUCGCUAUUGGAGCGGCCGAUAUCAGAUUAGCUAGUUGGUGGGGUAAAGGCCUACCAAGGCAACGAUCUGUAGUUGGUCUGAGAGGACGACCAGCCACACUGAGACUGAGACACGGCCCAGACUCCUACGGGAGGCAGCAGUGGGGAAUUUUGGACAAUGGGCGCAAGCCUGAUCCAGCAAUGCCGCGUGCAGGAAGAAGGCCUUCGGGUUGUAAACUGCUUUUGUCAGGGAAGAAAUCUUCUGGGCUAAUACCCCGGGAGGAUGACGGUACCUGAAGAAUAAGCACCGGCUAACUACGUGCCAGCAGCCGCGGUAAUACGUAGGGCGCGAGCGUUAAUCGGAAUUACUGGGCGUAAAGCGUGCGCAGGCGGCUUUGCAAGACAGAUGUGAAAUCCCCGGGCUCAACCUGGGAACUGCAUUUGUGACUGCAAGGCUAGAGUACGGCAGAGGGGGAUGGAAUUCCGCGUGUAGCAGUGAAAUGCGUAGAUAUGCGGAGGAACACCAAUGGCGAAGGCAAUCCCCUGGGCCUGUACUGACGCUCAUGCACGAAAGCGUGGGGAGCAAACAGGAUUAGAUACCCUGGUAGUCCACGCCCUAAACGACGUCAACUGGUUGUUGGACGGCUUGCUGUUCAGUAACGAAGCUAACGCGUGAAGUUGACCGCCUGGGGAGUACGGCCGCAAGGUUGAAACUCAAGGGAAUUGACGGGGACCCGCACAAGCGGUGGAUGAUGUGGUUUAAUUCGACGCAACGCGAAAAACCUUACCUACCCUUGACAUGUCAAGAAUUCUGCAGAGAUGUGGAAGUGCUCGAAAGAGAACUUGAACACAGGUGCUGCAUGGCCGUCGUCAGCUCGUGUCGUGAGAUGUUGGGUUAAGUCCCGCAACGAGCGCAACCCUUGUCAUUAGUUGCUACGCAAGAGCACUCUAAUGAGACUGCCGGUGACAAACCGGAGGAAGGUGGGGAUGACGUCAGGUCCUCGUGGCCCUUAUGGGUAGGGCUACACACGUCAUACAAUGGCCGGUACAGAGGGCUGCCAACCCGCGAGGGGGAGCCAAUCCCAGAAAACCGGUCGUAGUCCGGAUCGUAGUCUGCAACUCGACUGCGUGAAGUCGGAAUCGCUAGUAAUCGCGGAUCAGCUUGCCGCGGUGAAUACGUUCCCGGGUCU
rnacentral:rRNA from 1 species